UACGGAGAGUGCAAACGUUGUUCGGAUUCACUGGGCGUAAAGGGCACGUAGGCGGCUCGGCAAAUCGGUCGUGGAAUCCCGACGCUUACCGUCGGAACGGCGGCCGAAAAUACCGGGCUCGAGGGCGUGAGGGGUCACUGGAACUCCUGGUGAAGCGGUGAAAUGCGUAGAUAUCGUAAGGAAGACCAGUGGCGAAGGCGGGUCUCUGGACAGUUCCUGACGCUGAGGCACGAAGGCCAGGGGAGCAAACGGG
rnacentral:rRNA from 1 species